GUGGGGCAGAUGAUGAUUAUCAUAAAACAAAUGGGUAAUUUGCGACUGAUAAUAUUACAUUGAUGUGUUUUUUCACCUUGGUAUUGAUAAUGAAUUCG
rnacentral:snoRNA from 1 species